rnacentral:rRNA from 1 species
CCCUUAGAUGUCCUGGGCCGCACGCGUGCUACACUGACGCCUACAGCGAGUACUUCCCAGCCCCGAGAGGCGGCCGGUAAUCAGCAAUAGGCGUCGUGAUGGGGAUAGAUCUUUGGAAUUAUGGAUCUUGAACGAGGAAUGCCUAGUAAGCGCAGGUCAUUAGCCUGCGCUGAUUACGUCCCUGCCCUUUGUACACACCGCCCGUCGCUACUACCGAUUGGAUCAUUUGGUGAGGCCCACGGACUGUCGCGCUUCCUUCCUUGUGUUGGUUGCGCUUCUUGGGAAGUGGUACAAACCUGAUGAUCUAGAGGAAGUAAAAGUCGUAACA